rnacentral:tRNA from 1 species
GCAAAAGGUUAAUGUGUUCAGCUGUUAACUGAAAGGCUGGAGGUUCAAACCCACC